GAUGAAGAACGUAGCGAAAUGCGAUAAGUAAUGUGAAUUGCAGAAUUCAGUGAAUCAUCGAAUCUUUGAACGCACAUUGCGCCCGUCAGUAUUCUGGCGGGCAUGCCUGUUCGAGCGUCAUUACGCCCCUCAAGUCCCCUGUGGACUUGGUGUUGGGGAUCGGCGAGGCUGGUUUUCCAGCACAGCCGUCCCUUAAAUUAAUUGGCGGUCUCGCCGUGGCCCUCCUCUGCGCAGUAGUAAAACACUCGCAACAGGAGCCCGGCGCGGUCCACUGCCGUAAAACCCCCCAACUUUUUAUAGUUGACCUCGAAGCAGGUAGGACUACCCGCUGAACUUAAGCAUAUCAAUAAGCGGAGGA
rnacentral:misc_RNA from 1 species